rnacentral:rRNA from 1 species
GAUGAACGCUGGCGGCGUGCCUAAUACAUGCAAGUCGAGCGAACGGACGAGAAGCUUGCUUCUCUGAUGUUAGCGGCGGACGGGUGAGUAACACGUGGAUAACCUACCUAUAAGACUGGGAUAACUUCGGGAAACCGGAGCUAAUACCGGAUAAUAUUUUGAACCGCAUGGUUCAAAAGUGAAAGACGGUCUUGCUGUCACUUAUAGAUGGAUCCGCGCUGCAUUAGCUAGUUGGUAAGGUAACGGCUUACCAAGGCAACGAUGCAUAGCCGACCUGAGAGGGUGAUCGGCCACACUGGAACUGAGACACGGUCCAGACUCCUACGGGAGGCAGCAGUAGGGAAUCUUCCGCAAUGGGCGAAAGCCUGACGGAGCAACGCCGCGUGAGUGAUGAAGGUCUUCGGAUCGUAAAACUCUGUUAUUAGGGAAGAACAUAUGUGUAAGUAACUGUGCACAUCUUGGCGGUACCUAAUCAGAAAGCCACGGCUAGCUACGUG